AUGCUCAAAAUUCUCCAAGCCAGACUUCAGCAAUACGUGAACUGUGAACUCCCUGAUGUUCAAGCUGGUUUUAGAAAAGGCAGAGGAACCAGAGAUCAAAUUGCCAACAUCCGCUGGAUCAUGGAAAAAGUAAGAGAGUUCCAGAAAAACAUCUAUUUCUGCUUUAUUGACUAUGCCAAAGCCUUUGACUAUGUGGAUCACAAUAAACUGUGGAAAAUUCUGAAAGAGAUGGGAAUACCAGACCACCUAACCUGCCUCUUGAGAAAUCUGUAUGCAGGUCAGGAAGCAACAGUUAGAACUGGACAGGGAACAACAGACUGGUUCCAAAUAGGAAAAGGAGUGCGUCAAGGCUGUAUAUGGUCACCCUGCUUAUUUAACUUAUAUGCAGAGUACAUCAUGAGAAAUGCUGGACUGGAAGAAACACAAGCUGGGAUCAAGAUUGCUGGGAGAAAUAUCAAUAACCUCAGAUAUGCAGAUGACACCACCUUUAUGGCAGAAAGUGAAGAGGAGCUAAAAAGCCUCUUGAUGAAAGUGAAAGAGGAGAGUGAAAAAGUUGGCUUAAAGCUCAACAUUCAGAAAAUGAAGAUCAUGGCAUCUGAUCCCAUCACUUCAUGGGAAAUAGAUGGGGAAACAGUAGAAACAGUGUCAGACUUUAUUUUUUUGGGCUCCAAAAUCACUGCAGAUGGUGACUGCAGCCAUGAAAUUAGACGCUUACUCCUUGGAAGAAAAGUUAUGACCAACCUAGAUAGCAUAUUGAAAAGCAGAGACAUUACUUUGACGACUAAGGUCUGCCUAGUCAAGGCUAUGGUUUUUCCAGUGGUCAUGUAUGGAUGUGAGAGUUGGACUGUUAAGAAGACUGAGCACCGAAGAAUUGAUGCGUUUGAACUGUGGUGUUGGAGAAGACUCUUGAAGGUCCCUUGGACUGCAAGGAGAUCCAACCAGUCCAUUCUGAAGGAGAUCAACCCUGGGAUUUCUUCAGAAGGAAUGAUGCUAAAGCUGAAACUCCAGUACUUUGGCCACCUCAUGCGAAGAGUUGACUCAUUGGAAAAGACUCUGAUGCUGGGAGGGAUUGGGGGCAGGAGGAGAAGGGGACGACCGAGGAUGAGAUGGCUGGAUGGCAUCACAGACUCGAUGGACAUGAGUCUGAGUGAACUCCGGGAGAUGGUGAUGAACAGAGAGGCCUGGCGUGCUGUGAUUCAUGGGGUCGCAAAGAGUCGGACACGACUGAGCGACUGA
rnacentral:lncRNA from 1 species